rnacentral:rRNA from 1 species
UACAGAGGGGGCAAGCGUUGUUCGGAAUUACUGGGCGUAAAGGGCGCGUAGGCGGCCUGCUAAGUCGAACGUGAAAUCCCUGGGCUCAACCCAGGAACUGCGUCCGAUACUGGUUGGCUUGAAUCCGGGAGAGGGACGUGGAAUUCCAGGUGUAGCGGUGAAAUUCGUAGAUAUCGGGAGGAACACCGGUGGCGAAGGCGGCGACCUGGGUCGAUACUGACGCUGAGGUGCGAAAGCGUGGGGAGCAAACAGG